rnacentral:rRNA from 1 species
CAGCACCUCAAGUGGUCAGGAUGAUUAUUGGGCCUAAAGCAUCCGUAGCCUGCUUUGUCAGUUUUCGGUUAAAUCCAUACGCUCAACGUAUGGGCUGCCGGGAAUACUGCAAAGCUAGGGAGUGGGAGAGGUAGACGGUACUCGGUAGGAAGGGGUAAAAUCCUUUGAUCUAUUGAUGACCGCCUGUGGCGAAGGCGGUCUACCAGAACACGUCCGACGGUGAGGGAUGAAAGCUGGGGGAGCAAACCGGAUUAGAGACCCGAGUAGUCC